AGCCACUGAUGAAACUGAUUCUGCCAGAUGAGUUGCUGUGAUAUUACCCUUUCCGUUCCUAUUAUGUCUGAGGUU